GGGGGCUUAACUCAGCGGUAGAGUGCUAUCCUCACACGAUAGAAGUCGCAGGUUCAAAUCCUGCAGUCCCCACCA
rnacentral:tRNA from 1 species